UACGUAGGCAGCGAGCGUUGUUCGGAAUUAUUGGGCGUAAAGAGUGUGUAGGCGGUGCUCCAAGUCUGUUGUGAAAUCUCCCGGCUUAACUGGGAGGGUGCGGCGGAAACUGGAAUGCUAGAGGGUGGGAGAGGUAAGCGGAAUUCCUGGUGUAGCGGUGAAAUGCGUAGAUAUCAGGAGGAACACCUGUGGUGUAGACAGCUUACUGGACCACUCCUGACGCUGAGACACGAAAGCGUGGGUAGCAAACAGG
rnacentral:rRNA from 1 species